GAGUUUGAUCGUGGCUCAGGAUGAACGCUGGCGGCGUGCCUAAUACAUGCAAGUCGAACGAACAGAUAAGGAGCUUGCUCCUUUGACGUUAGCGGCGGACGGGUGAGUAACACGUGGGUAACCUACCUAUAAGACUGGAAUAACUCCGGGAAGCCGGGGCUAAUGCCGGAUAACAUGUUGAACCGCAUGGUUCUACAGUGAAAGACGGUCUUGCUGUCACUUAUAGAUGGACCCGCGCCGUAUUAGCUAGUUGGUGGGUAACGGCCUACCAAGGCGACGAUACGUAGCCGACCUGGGAGGGUGAUCGGCCACACUGGAACUGAGACACGGUCCAGACUCCUACGGGAGGCAGCAGUAGGGAAUCUUCCGCAAUGGGCGAAAGCCUGACGGAGCAACGCCGCGUGAGUGAUGAAGGUCUUCGGAUCGUAAAGCUCUGUUGUUAGGGAAGAACAAAUGUGUAAGUAACUGUGCAUAUCUUGACGGUACCUAACCAGAAAGCCACGGCUAACUACGUGCCAGCAGCCGCA
rnacentral:rRNA from 1 species